rnacentral:rRNA from 1 species
GACGAACGCUGGCGGCGUGCUUAACACAUGCAAGUCGAACGGAAAGGCCCUGCUUUUGUGGGGUGCUCGAGUGGCGAACGGGUGAGUAACACGUGAGUAACCUGCCCUUGACUUUGGGAUAACUUCAGGAAACUGGGGCUAAUACCGGAUAGGAGCUCCUGCUGCAUGGUGGGGGUUGGAAAGUUUCGGCGGUUGGGGAUGGACUCGCGGCUUAUCAGCUUGUUGGUGGGGUAGUGGCUUACCAAGGCUUUGACGGGUAGCCGGCCUGAGAGGGUGACCGGCCACAUUGGGACUGAGAUAGGGCCCAGACUCCUACGGGAGGCAGCAGUGGGGAAUAUUGCACAAUGGGCGGAAGCCUGAUGCAGCAACGCCGCGUGCGGGAUGACGGCCUUCGGGUUGUAAACCGCUUUCGCCUGUGACGAAGCGUGAGUGACGGUAAUGGGUAAAGAAGCACCGGCUAACUACGU